rnacentral:lncRNA from 1 species
UUGUAACGAGUUUAAUUCAAUUGUUUUGCAUAGAGAUAUAGCAAAAUUAAUCUGGGUUAAAUAGAAGGCAAUUGAUCACUCGAGAGAGGGCUUUUGGCAUUUGAGAAUUCCUGUUAACAAUUCAGUAGACAUAAUAAUUGGAAUAGUUGAAUAAUUGAUUUAUAAUUCAUAAUUGGGGAUAUUGGAGUCUUAAUCCUUAUUUAUCUGAAUUCAUUCAAAUUUUAGUUGUUUAUUUGCUUUCUUUUAGAAUAAUCUCUUUUAAUUGUUUUAAUUUAGUUUUCUUAAUUAGAAAAAUCACAAUUUGCGAUUGUUUAAAUAAAAUUGAUUUGGUUAAGAGUUAGUACUUGGUAAUUUUUAUUAAAUAAUUCCUCGUGGGAACGAUACUCUACUUUCACUUUAUUACUUGUUGACCGUGUAUACUUGCACGUAUUCAUUGAUUGCGAAAUCAAUCAACA